GACGAACGCUGGCGGCGUGCUUAACACAUGCAAGUCGAGCGGUAAGGCCCUUCGGGGUACACGAGCGGCGAACAGGUGAGUAACACGUGGGUAACCUGCCCUCAGCUCUGGGAUAAGCCCGGGAAACUGGGUCUAAUACCGGAUAUCACCUUGGGAGGCAUCUUCCGGGGUUGAAAGUUUUUGGCGGCUGAGGAUGGGCCCGCGGCCUAUCAGCUUGUUGGUGGGGUAGUGGCCUACCAAGGCGACGACGGGGAGCCGGCCUGAGAGGGCGACCGGCCACACUGGGACUGAGACACGGCCCAGACUCCUACGGGAGGCAGCAGUGGGGAAUAUUGCACAAUGGGCGAAAGCCUGAUGCAGCGACGCCGCGUGA
rnacentral:rRNA from 1 species